AACGCAAGAGGGCGAUCACCACGGUGGGGUCGAUGACUGGGGUGAAGUCGUAACAAGGUAGCCGUAGGGGAACCUGCGGCUGGAUCACCUCCUUAAUGAAGAUA
rnacentral:rRNA from 1 species